rnacentral:tRNA from 1 species
GGGCGGUUAGCUCAGUGGUAGAGCACUGUCUUCACACGGCAGGGGUCACUGGUUCGAACCCAGUACUGCCCACCA